rnacentral:rRNA from 1 species
UACGAAGGGGGCUAGCGUUGCUCGGAAUCACUGGGCGUAAAGGGCGCGUAGGCGGCCAUAUAAGUCGGGGGUGAAAGCCUGUGGCUCAACCACAGAAUUGCCUUCGAUACUGUAUGGCUCGAGACCGGAAGAGGUAAGUGGAACUGCGAGUGUAGAGGUGAAAUUCGUAGAUAUUAGGAAGAACACCAGUGGCGAAGGCGGCUCACUGGUCCGGUACUGACGCUGAGGUGCGAAAGCGUGGGGAGCAAACAGG